rnacentral:rRNA from 1 species
GAUGAACGCUGGCGGCGUGCCUAAUACAUGCAAGUCGAGCGAACAGACGAGGAGCUUGCUCCUCUGACGUUAGCGGCGGACGGGUGAGUAACACGUGGAUAACCUACCUAUAAGACUGGGAUAACUUCGGGAAACCGGAGCUAAUACCGGAUAAUAUAUUGAACCGCAUGGUUCAAUAGUGAAAGACGGUUUUGCUGUCACUUAUAGAUGGAUCCGCGCCGGAUUAGCUAGUUGGUACGGUAACGGCUUACCAAGGCUACGAUGCGUAGCCGACCUGAGAGGAUGAUCGGCCACACUGGAACUGAGACACGGUCCAGACUCCUACGGGAGGCAGCAGUAGGGAAUCUUCCGCAAUGGGCGAAAGCCUGACGGAGCAACGCCGCGUGAGUGAUGAAGGUCUUCGGAUCGUAAAACUCUGUUAUUAGGGAAGAACAAAUGUGUAAGUAACUAUGCACGUCUUGACGGUACCUAAACAGAAAGCCACGGCUAACUACGUG